UUUGCAUAACUUCAAUCAGCUGUUUCUCUGUAGCAAUAGAAUACAAUACAGGGGAUAUAUUAUUUCAAUUCACAAUAUGAACAGCUGUUCACUUUGACUUUUGCAUAUAAGUGAGGUUUAGAACAUGAUGUUAUCUGUUCUGACAUAUAGUCAAGAAGAGGGAAAUGGAGGGAGG